GAUGAACGCUGGCGGCGUGCCUAAUACAUGCAAGUCGAGCGAACAGACGAGGAGCUUGCUCCUCUGACGUUAGCGGCGGACGGGUGAGUAACACGUGGAUAACCUACCUAUAAGACUGGGAUAACUUCGGGAAACCGGAGCUAAUACCGGAUAAUAUAUUGAACCGCAUGGUUCAAUAGUGAAAGACGGUUUUGCUGCCACUUAUAGAUGGAUCCGCGCCGCAUUAGCUAGUUGGUAAGGUAACGGCUUACCAAGGCAACGAUGCGUAGCCGACCUGAGAGGGUGAUCGGCCACACUGGAACUGAGACACGGUCCAGACUCCUACGGGAGGCAGCAGUAGGGAAUCUUGCGCAAAGGGCGAAAGCUUGACGGAGCAACGCCGCGUGAGUGAUGAAGGUCUUCGGAUCGUAAAACUCUGUUAUUAGGGAAGAACAAAUGUGUAAGUAACUAUGCACGUCUUGACGGUACCUAAUCAGAAAGCCACGGCUAACUACGUG
rnacentral:rRNA from 1 species